ACAACAUUCGGACCGUCGGUCUACCGAGCAAUAUCAUCACCCGCUCGGUGGAAGAUCUUCCCUUUGUCGU
rnacentral:pre_miRNA from 1 species